AGCCUUCUGUUUCUGUGCUGAGAUUUCGUCACACACUAAACCACAAAGGCUGAUGUGACACACACUAUACCACAAGGGUUGAUGAGACUUCCAAGAUAUUUGAAGCG
rnacentral:pre_miRNA from 1 species